rnacentral:rRNA from 1 species
AUGGCUACUAGCACUAAGCUUGUAGCUCUUGGCUUUGUUGUCCUCGUGAGCAUUGGGUUCACCAAUGCUUCAAGGAUGCUGGCUAGCUCAAGUGCUGGAGGUGGAGGCGGGGGAAGCGGGGGUGGUGGCAGCUCGUCGGGUGGGGUUGGGAGUGGAUGGGGGCAUGGAGCUGGAGGAGGUGGUGGCUUGGGAUAUGGCGAGAGUGGUGGAGAUUCCAGUAACAAGUAUAACUUUGCCAAGGGACUUGGUGGAGGAGGGGGGCACGGUGCUGGCGGUGGUUCUCAAGGCGGAUCCGGUUCCGGUUCCGGCUCUGGCGGUGGCAACGGUGUUGGUUCGAGUGGCUCAGCGUCAGCGCCUAGUGGCAAUGGGUAUGCCAGUGCUGAUGGUCAGGGUGGGGGCGGAGGUGGAGGUGGUGGCGCAGAUGGGUCAAGCGGAUCUGGAGCCGGAAAGGGUGUUGGCCAAGGAGAAGGUGAGAGUGGGAUAGCAACUGCCCCGGCUGUAGCUCCUUCUGCUGGUGGUGACAGCUACUCUGAAGCUGGCGGUGGUGGUAACGGCGGCGGUGGUGGUGACGGUGGAAAUGGAGGUGGUAAUGGCGCUGGAGCUGGACAAGCCGCCAGCGAUGACACUUCUGGGGGCAAUGCAAGUGGAGGGGGUGGCGGCAACGGUGGUGGCCAGGGUGGAGGCGUAGCUCAAGGUCCAAGCAUGGGAGUUGGUUCUGGCUCUGGCAUUGGAGGCGGACGGACUGGUAGCACUGGCUACUAUGGUCAAGGCUAUGCCGCUGGAACCGGUGCUGGAACGGGUGGUGGUGAAGGUGGCAGCAACAAUGGUGGGUCCGGCGGCGGUGGAGGUAGCGGAUCUGGAUCGGGCAGUGGCGGAUACCCCUAA